rnacentral:rRNA from 1 species
AUGACAACCGCAUGGUUGUUAUUUAAAAGAUGGUUCUGCUAUCACUAAGAGAUGGUCCCGCGGUGCAUUAGCUAGUUGGUAAGGUAAUGGCUUACCAAGGCGAUGAUGCAUAGCCGAGUUGAGAGACUGAUCGGCCACAAUGGGACUGAGACACGGCCCAUACUCCUACGGGAGGCAGCAGUAGGGAAUCUUCCACAAUGGGCGAAAGCCUGAUGGAGCAACGCCGCGUGUGUGAUGAAGGGUUUCGGCUCGUAAAACACUGUUGUAAGAGAAGAAUGACAUUGAGAGUAACUGUUCAAUGUGUGACGGUAUCUUACCAGAAAGGAACGGCUAAAUACGUGCCAGCAGCCGCGGUAAUACGUAUGUUCCAAGCGUUAUCCGGAUUUAUUGGGCGUAAAGCGAGCGCAGACGGUUAUUUAAGUCUGAAGUGAAAGCCCUCAGCUCAACUGAGGAAUUGCUUUGGAAACUGGAUGACUUGAGUGCAGUAGAGGAAAGUGGAACUCCAUGUGUAGCGGUGAAAUGCGUAGAUAUAUGGAAGAACACCAGUGGCGAAGGCGGCUUUCUGGACUGUAACUGACGUUGAGGCUCGAAAGUGUGGGUAGCAAACAGGAUUAGAUACCCUGGUAGUCCACACCGUAAACGAUGAGUGCUAGUGUUUGAGGGUUUCCGCCCUUAAGUGCCGCAGCUAACGCAUUAAGCACUCCGCCUGGGGAGUACGACCGCAAGGUGGAACUCAAGGAAUUGACGGGGACCCGCACAAGCGGUGGAGCAUGUGGUUUAAUCCGAGCCACGCCGAAGAACCU